rnacentral:rRNA from 1 species
AACGAACGCUGGCGGCAUGCCUAACACAUGCAAGUCGAACGAGACCUUCGGGUCUAGUGGCGCACGGGUGCGUAACGCGUGGGAAUCUGCCCUUGGGUUCGGAAUAACAGUUAGAAAUGACUGCUAAUACCGGAUAAUGUCUUCGGACCAAAGAUUUAUCGCCCAGGGAUGAGCCCGCGUAGGAUUAGCUAGUUGGUGAGGUAAAGGCUCACCAAGGCGACGAUCCUUAGCUGGUCUGAGAGGAUGAUCAGCCACACUGGGACUGAGACACGGCCCAGACUCCUACGGGAGGCAGCAGUGGGGAAUAUUGGACAAUGGCGAAAGCCUGAUCCAGCAAUGCCGCGUGAGUGAUGAAGGCCUUAGGGUGUAAAGCUCUUUACCGGGAUGAUAAUGACAGUACCGGGAGAAUAACGCCCCGGACUAACUCCGUGCCAGCAGCCGCGGUAAU